AGGAAUUCAAAAAAGCAUUUUCAAAUUUUACAAAUGUCGAGCAAGAACGUCUCCACCAGUUUUUUUAUUCAGGUCAUUACCUCUUUCCACGGGAAUGUAGAGGAUGAAUUUGAGUCUUUAUGCCAUGAAACUCAUGUAUUCCCUU